GAUGAACGCUGGCGGCGUGCCUAAUACAUGCAAGUCGAGCGAACAGACGAGAGUGCUUGCACUCUCUGACGUUAGCGGCGGACGGGUGAGUAACACGUGGGUAACCUACCUAUAAGACUGGGAUAACUUCGGGAAACCGGAGCUAAUACCGGAUAAUAUUUAGCUUCGCAUGAAGCAAUAGUGAAAGACGGUUCUGCUGUCACUUAUAGAUGGACCCGCGGUGUAUUAGCUAGUUGGUGAGGUAACGGCUCACCAAGGCAACGAUACAUAGCCGACCUGAGAGGGUGAUCGGCCACACUGGGACUAAGACACGGCCCAGACUCCUACGGGAGGCAGCAGUAGGGAAUCUUCCGCAAAGGACGAAAGUCUGACGGAGCAAUGCCGCGUGAGUGAAGAAGGUUUUCGGAUCGUAAAACUCUGUUGUAAGGGAAGAACAAGUACGUUAGUAACUGAACGUACCUUGACGGUACCUUACCAGAAAGCCACGGCUAACUACGUG
rnacentral:rRNA from 1 species